CGAGAAUCCAUAUAAUAUAGAGACCUGGUGACUAUGUCAGGACGGAGCGCAUCGCUGCUGCUUAGGGGGCCACCAAUCCAUACUGUGUAUUUUACCGUGGUCACUCACAAACAGAGUUGUUUGCCAUGGUAUAGACAACCGCAAAAAACUAAAUUGUUUAAAAAGGAUAAUUACCAUAGCACAAGAACUCACAGUAUAGUACUAAAUUUGCACAAAGUAAAAGGCUAAGAGUAUAAAAUAUCAAUUGUUUAAUAACAUUCUAUGAAGUAUUCUAUAAUGGAAAAUCAUUUGAGACUUAAGUAAUCAGCAUGAGAUAGUUUGUUGGGAAAGGUUGCUGAAUAUUGUUCCAUUAUUUAAAAAAAUGACCGCUGAGCGAAUGUAAAUUGGAGGUGGUUGUUUAUCUACACUAGGUACACUAGGUAACUUGUGAGUGAAGUGCAGAGCAAGUAUAUUUCGAGCUAAAAAUGGUUCCUUCCUGAUCAAUAUAGUAAAUUUCAAAAGGAAUAAUUGAAACAAGAACGUAUUGAAAUUUCAAUAAACACAUUGAAAAUGUGUAUGUACUUUUCAAGAAACAAUCACACAAUGGUUCCAUGGCGAAAAUCUAUUUCAUGAAAUUUAAUUUCAUUUUUUGAAAGUUUUCUUCAAUUCAAUUCAAUCUUGCAAAGUUGCUAUGAUUACAGUAAGUAAGAUAUAUUCUAUCAUCUGAAUAUAUCUUCUUGUUUCAUGCAAAAGAUCUAGAGUGGAUCUCAACAAAGAAUUAUCCUGCUAGCAAAAUGGAAAAUUUACUCCGUGAAAAACUUAAAAAUAACAACAGCAAGCGAAAAGAAACGACACCUUAUUUCAUGGGCAGAAGCAACGCAUAUAAGGACAAACAAGAAACAAAGAAGGCAGAUAAUAAAAGGAGAAUUGAAUUA